CUUUGGGAUAACCCUCGGAAACGGGGGCUAAUACCGGAUAUGACUGCUGGGUGCAUGCCUGGUGGUGGAAAGCUUUUGUGGUCAGGGAUGGGCUCGCGGCCUAUCAGCUUGUUGGUGGGGUGAUGGCCUACCAAGGCGACGACGGGUAGCCGGCCUGAGAGGGCGACCGGCCACACUGGGACUGAGACACGGCCCAGACUCCUACGGGAGGCAGCAGUGGGGAAUAUUGCACAAUGGGCGGAAGCCUGGUGCAGCGACGCCGCGUGAGGGAUGACGGCCUUCGGGUUGUAAACCUCUUUCAGCUCCGACGAAGCGUAAGUGACGGUAGGAGCAGAAGAAGCGCCGGCCAACUACGUGCCAGCAGCCGCGGUAAGACGUAGGGCGCGAGCGUUGUCCGGAUUUAUUGGGCGUAAAGAGCUCGUAGGCGGCGUGUCGCGUCGACUGUGAAAUCCCGCGGCUUAACUGUGGGCUUGCAGCCGAUACGGGCAGGCUAGAGUUCGGUAGGGGAGACUGGAAUUCCUGGUGUAGCGGUGAAAUGCGCAGAUAUCAGGAGGAACACCGGUGGCGAAGGCGGGUCUCUGGGCCGAUACUGACGCUGAGGAGCGAAAGCGUGGGGAGCGAACAGGAUUAGAUACCCUGGUAGUCCACGCUGUAAACGUUGGGCGC
rnacentral:rRNA from 1 species